rnacentral:rRNA from 1 species
UACGUAGGGUGCGAGCGUUGUCCGGAAUUACUGGGCGUAAAGAGCUUGUAGGCGGUUUGUCGCGUCGUCCGUGAAAACCAGUGGCUUAACCAUUGGCUUGCGGGCGAUACGGGCAGACUUGAGUAUUGCAGGGGAGACUGGAGUUCCUGGUGUAGCGGUGAAGUGCGCAGAUAUCAGGAGGAACACCGGUGGCGAAGGCGGGUCUCUGGGCAGUAACUGACGCUGAGAAGCGAAAGCAUGGGGAGCGAACAGG